rnacentral:lncRNA from 1 species
GAGGAACUGCAAAAGCAAGGCAACAACACGAAAAGGGAAAACAAAAGGCCGAAGCAUGCUAAAAUAAAAGCAGAGACAAAUGCCGAAUACAUAUUCACAACAAGAUGCAGUAAACUGCAAGCAAAGGUGAUACAAUGAUGACUGAAGGCGGGGAAAAAAACGCACAAACACGUUCCCCACACAGUGCUAGUAACCCAAUCUAUGCAAUUGCCUUCAAUGCUUUAUAACGCAAUAUUUCAUGAGUAUCAGCAUUAUUAUAUUCAUCUCUUCCAAUUCAAGAUUAAAGCCUCACCUGCAUAAUUUAGAACUGAUACUAGAUAGAACAAUUAAUACCACAAACACUUGCCAGGUUUUUGUCCUGGCAGAUUGAGGUCCCAUUUGGAUACACAAUGCUAAACUUUAGCACUGUGCUAAAGUUUAGCACUUGAGGUUGUUUGAAUACAGUGCUAAAGUUUAGCACCUUGGGUGAGAAAUAACUACAUUGCCCUCAUUUAGGACUGGCUUAGGGAAAAGUGGAGAGCAGAGAGAGGGGGGGCAACUAGAAAAAAAGUAAGCUUGAAGAUCACUUUUAGCACUAUUAGCAAGUUUUAGCACCCUUUAGGUGUGCUAAUGAAAAAGAGUGUGCUAAACUUUAGCACAAGUGCUAAAAGUGUUGUGCUAAAGCACCAUGUAUCCAAACGGGGCCUAAGAUUGCAGUAAAAAAAAAAAAGGCAAAACACACAUGACACAAC